ensembl:lncRNA
GUCUUGCUGGAAAGAGCUUCCUAAUAGCACGGCUGUGAGUGAAACCAGCACAGUAUGUUCAGUGUGGAGGUCCUCCUGAUUUCACAUGGAUCCAAACUGUCUAAAAAACUCCCUGCUUCAUACAAGAACAGAUAUGAUGGAUACUGAUUAUCUGCAUGAAUCCACAGGGAACAUAUCUGCUCAGAGGACACCGAAUGGUCCUGAAGUAGAACCUGAGAACCAAUUCAACCAGCGCUGAAAGCAGCCAUGGGACCCAAGGGAGGCAAGUGGGCCCUAGUUAUCACCAUGACCUUCAGGGUUUGUCCCCUUUUCAUACUUCAGAAGGGAGACAAACUGAGAAGACACAGUGAGGAAAAGAAUGUGUAUAGUGUUUUGUUCUUUUCUACUUCUUCAGCUUUUAUUGGUGUCCACAGGAAAAAAGGAAUCAAAAUCCAGGAAAGAGGGAACCUAUCAGAAAAAAAAAAUGCAGAAGACCCUACUAAAACUAGAAGUAAUUACAGUUCAAAGGAUUCAAGCAAAACAAAAACAAAAACAAAAACAAACAACAACAAAAAAAACCUACCAUGAGAACAAAAGAAGAGUGAGCAACUUCACCCCCACGCAGCCAAGCAUCAAAUUAGGAAAACUAUAGUCCAGAUAGAUUUUAGUCUAGCCAGGGAUGUCAAGACAAGAGGAAGGGCUUCUAUAAACACAUCUAUGCUGAAAGGAAAUCUUCAGAAAACAUGCAUCCUCUCCAAAAGAAAUUGCAGACCUGGUUACCUGGGAUAUGAAUAUGGAGGAGACAGCUACUCAACAAUUUUUUGCUUCAGUCUUCACCAGAAAUUGUUCUAGCCACACCACUAAAGUCACAGAAUGCAAAAGCAGAGACUGGGAGAAUAAAAUACUGCCUACUCUAGGUGAAGGUCAAGUUCAAAUCAACCUAAGGAGUUACACGUGUUGAUGGGACCUGACAAGAUGCAUCCAAUGGGAGUGGUGGAUGAAGUUGCUAAGCCACUUCUCAUAUUUCAGAAGCCAAAAGUUCCCACUAACUGGAAAGUGAAAACAUAGCCCCCAUUUUCAAAAAGGGGAAAAAAGAAGACUCAGGGAACUACAAACCAGUCAGCCACACUUCUGUGCCUGGAGUGGAUCCUUCUAAAACUAUGAUAAGGCAUAUGGAUAACAAAGAGUUGAUUGGUGACAGCUAGAAUGGCUUCACUUAGGGCACAUAAUGCCUGACAAAUUCGUGACCUUCUACGGCGGGGUUAUACUGUUGGUGGAUAAGGAAAGAGUAACUGACAUCAUCUGCCUGGAUACAUUAAUUUGAUGAAUGGAUCACUUGGUGAAUAAGGAACUGGCUGGAUGUUUGCACUCAAAGAGUUACGGUUGGCAGCUGAAUGCACAGGUGGAGGCCAGUGACAAGGGAUGCUCCUCAGGGGUUUGUACUAGGAAUAGCAUAAUUUAACAUCUUUGUUGGUGACACAGACAGGGGGAUUGAGUGCACUUUCCACAAGUUUGUAGGUGACACCAGGCCUAGAGGUGCAGUCAACAUGAUGGAGGAAAGGGAUGACAUCCAGAAGGACCUUGACAGGCUCAAGAGAUGGGCCUGUAAGAAAAACGUGUAUUUCAACAAGUCCAAGUGAUAGGUCCUGCACGUGGGUCAGGGCAAUUUGGAGCAUGAAUGCAGGCUAGGAAACACAUGGGUGAAGAGCAGAACUGUGGAGAAUGACUUGGGAGUACACAUGUUUGAAAAGGUCAACAUGAGCUAGCAAAGUGCACUUAUAGACAAGAAAGCCAAGCAUAUCCUGGACUGCAUGAAAGGAAAUACAGCUGAGAGUGAUUCUUCUCCUUUACUCUGCUUUUGGGAGACCUCAUUUAGAGUUUUGUAUUCAACUCAGGGAUCUCCAGCAUAAGAAAAACAUGGGCCUGUUAGCCUGGGUCCAUAGGAGAGACAUGAAGAAGAUCAGAGGGCUGGAGCACUCUUCCUAUAAAGACAGAGAGAACUGUGGUUAUUCAGCCUAAAGAAGUCUUAAGACUAAAGAAGAGAACUUAAAGAGGCCUUCCAGUAUUUAAGUACUAGAGGUCUAUGGGAAAGAUGGGGAGGCAUUUUUUAUAUGGGAAUAUAAUAGGACAAGGGUUAACAGUUUCUCUAAAAAGAAGAUAGGCUUAGAAUUGAUGUAAGGAAUAAAUUCUUUACUCAGAGGGUGGGGAAGCACUCGCACAGGCUUCCCAGAGAAGCUGUGGAUGACUGAACCUGUAGGUGUUCAAGACCAGGUUGGAUACGGCUCUGGGCAACCUGAUCUAGUGGCUGGCAAACCUGUCCAUGACAGAACAGGUGUGGGGCAGGGGGGAGGUAGAAAUGGAUGAUUUUUAAGAUCCCUUCCAACCUGAACAAUUCUAUGAUUCUAAACUAAAAAUUUCAACUGAGUAUUUUAACAAAGUUUGCAGGUUUUUUUCCCCCCUCUCCCUCUUUGGCUACUAUUGAGCUCUUGAUGCUCAGCCAUAAAACUUCAGUAAUAUCAGCAAUAAAGUUUCGUUUUACCUGUCAUCAGAUAAGUAACAGUUUAGUAAUGGCUUGGGGUGAUUGAUGACAAAGUAGCUAAAAAAAUAACUAGUACUAUAAACCCUAUUUACAACAUCUAAGAAGAACCUUGAAAAGAUAAUACUAUGGAUUACCUUUGUGUUAUUUUCUAUACUCGUUAUAAAAUUUGUCACGGGGUCUUUAAUUGUCUCAUUUUCCAUUUUUUAUAGUCUUUGUCAUGACAAUAAGUUUUCACAUAAUUCAGGGUUUGCUAGAUUGAUUCAAACUAUGCAGUAGAAGUCUGAAUGUCUUAGAGAUGUUGCAGCACGAUCGUCUGACUCUUCAACCUUUGUUCACCCAGUGAUAAAAUUUGUGGAGGAAGAGCAAUAGACAAUUUUAUGCCCUCCAAAUGAGCAUCCUUUCCCUACCUGCUAUUUUCACAGCCUUAUUCCUUCCCUUUCCAUGAGCUAUCUGCUUAAGGAUUAACUAAUUCGGAGUCAGGAGUCAGGCCUGCGUGGAUCCCUUCAUGCUGCCUUCAGCUUUCAGUAAUCUGAAGUUUUCUUAGAACUUAGGGGAUCACAAAAUACUCUUCUUUUUAUUUUAAUGAAACCAAGAUCCUUGAAGAAAUCUGAAGGAAAAGGGAUCAUGAAAGUACCUAGAGGCUCAGUAAGAUGUAUAAAACCCUAUUUUUCCAGAUACCAUCAAGUGUGAGUCAGUUCCAAGUUGUCUUGGUGUCUGAAUCAUGAUUUUUUAAUUCCUGUGGUUGGCAGUGUGGAUGAUGAUUGAAAAAGACUGCUGCUAUAUACUCAAAAUCUUGUCUUCCAGCAAAGAUAUUCACAGCUCCUGGUGCGGCUUUAGGGAGGAUUCCUUAGAGCCUAUCUGGCAAAACUCAUGCUUUUUGACUUCUCCAGCUGUCUCACUGACUCCUUUUCAUCCCCUAAAAUUAUGUCUUGGCCUCCAUUAAUCACAUUUGUCAUGUUUUGCCUAUACCAUAGCAAUAUGAUUCUUGUGCACAAAGAUGUUAUAAGUUCAAAGGGUAUGCUACACUACAUAUAGCAUAUUGCUUACAUGAUACUGAUCACUGCAAGCAUGUUUUAUAUUUCUGCUGCUUCUUACUUUAUUUAUUGAGUCUCAGGCAUACUAGAAUAUUAUGUAAAGCAAAAGGAUGAAGACAGUGUAGGUAAAACUGUUUUUCAGAAGCUUUCAUGCAGUUCCAGAAGAGUAAAAUGGCAACUAUGGAAAGGAGAACCACCACAGAUCUCAAGGAAUCAUAGAAAAGACCUUAAAGAUCAUCAAAUCCAACCAUGAUCUAGCCAUACUAGCCUAACUCUAACAACCCUCCGCUAAAUCAUGUCCCUGAGCACCACAUCCAAAUGGUUUUUAAACACAUCCAGGGAUGGUGACACAACCACCUCCCUGCGGAGCCUAUUUUAGUGCUUAACAACCCUUUCUGUAAAGUUGCUUUUCCUGAUACCCAACCUAAACUUAACCUGGUGCAACUUGAGGUCAUUUCCCCUUGUCCUGUCACCAGUGAGAAGAGACCAGCCCUGUUCUCACUGUAGGCACCUUUCAGAUAUUGGAAGAGAGCAAUAAGGUCUCCCCUCAGCCUCCUUUUCCCCAGACUAAACAGCCCCAGUUCCUUCAGUCUCUCUACAUAGGGCAUAUUCUCCAAGCCCUUCACCAGCCUUGCUGCCUUUCUUUGGACCUGCUCCAGCACCUCAGUGUCCUUUCUCUAUUCAGGUGCCCAAAACUGAACACAGUACUUGAGGUGAGGCCUCAUCAAUGCCAAGUACAGGGGCAGGAUGACUUCCCUAGUCCUGCUCACCACACCAUGCCUGAUACAAGCCAGGAUGCCAUUGGCCUUCUUGACAACCUGGGCACACUGCUGGCUCAUAUUCAGCUGACUGUCCAACAGUACACCAAGGUCCCUUUCCAUCAGGCAGCUUUCCAGCCACUCCUUCCUCAAGCCUGUAGGGUUGCCUGGGGUUGUUGUGACCAAAAUGCAGGACCUGACACUUGGCCCUCUUGAAACACACAGUUUACCUUGUCCAGUCUGUCCAGGUCCCUCUGUAGUGUCCUCCUCCCCUCAGGCAGAUCAACACUCCCUCCCAGCUUGGUGUCAUCUGCAGGCUUACUGAGGGUGCACUCAAUCCCCUCAUUAAGAUCGUUAAUAAAGAUGUUAAAUAGAAGCAGCCCCAGUACUGAGCCCUGGGGGACACUGCUCAUGACCAGCCACCAACUGGAUGUAAAUCCAUUGACCACAACUCUUUGGGCCCGGCCAUCCAGCCAGUGUUUCACUCAGCAGAGCAUACGCCCAUCCAAAUAGUAGGCAGCCAGCUUCUCCACAAGAGUGUUGUGGGGGACAGUGUCAAAGGCUUUACUGAAGUCCAGGUAGACCACAUCAACAGCCUUACCUUCAUCCACUAAGUGGGUCACCUUGUCAUAGAAUGAAAUCAGGUUUAUCAAACAGGACCUACCAUUUGUAAACCCAUGGUGGCUGGACCUGAUCCCCCGGUUGACCUUUAACCGGUCCCUGACGGCUCCUGAGAUUAUCCGUUUCAUAACCUUUCCCGGCACUGAGGUGAGACUGGUAGUCUGUAGCUAGCAGGAUCAUCUUUCCUGCCCCUUUUGAAGAUGGGCAUCUCAUUUGCCAGUCUCCAGUCUGCUGGGAGAUCCCCGGUUAGCCAGGACUGCCGAAGGAUGAUAAGAGAGAGGCUUGGCAACCACAUCCGCCAACUCCCUCAGUACUCUAGGGUACAAUCCAACCAGCCCCAUGGACUUAUGAGCAUUCAGCUUUUGGAGCAGGUCCAAAACCAUCUCACCGUGGAUCAUGCAGAGCCUAUUCUGUUCCCCAUCCCUAUCUACCAGCACAGGAGGCUGUGUUCCCAGGGAGUAACAAGUCUUACUAUUAAAGACUGAGGCAAAGAAGGCAUUAAGCACCUCAGCCUUAUCCUGAUCCUUGGUCAUCAAGUUGCUCUCGGCAUCCAACAAAGGAUGGAGACUCUCCCUAGCCCUCCUCUUGCUGUUGAUGUAUUCAUAGAACUAUUUAUUGUUGUCUUUUACCUUAGUGGCCAAGUUCAGUUCUAGCUGGGCUUUGGCUUUUCUAAUUUUCUCACUGCACAGCUUCACUACAUACCUGUAAUCAUCCUAAGUAUCUUGCCCACUCUUCCGGAAACCAUGAACUUUCUUUUUGCUCUUGAGAUCCAGCCAAAGGUCUCUGUUCAUCCAGGCUGGCCUCCUUGCCCAUCAGCUCAUCUUCUGAACUUGGCUAUGGUCUGCACCUGCACCUUUAAAAUAACUUCCUUAAAAGUAUUCCCAGCCUUCCUGGGCUCCCAUGCUCUCCAAAACUACCUCCCAAGGGACCCUCUCAACUAUGGUCCUAAAGAGAGGUACUCUCUAAAGAGAGUACCCCCCGUAUUUUGCAAUCAGACACUGCUGUUCCAUCCAGGACAGCUCCGUAGCAGUGAACCUUGGCAAUCAAGGUCAUAUUCUUCAAUUAAAUGUCAGUUUCUCUCCAUCAAGGUACUUGUUCUAACAUGAAAAUAAACUAAUAGACUUAUGAAUAAAUAUACUAC